AACGGUCAUACCAUGCUGAAUAUACCGGUUCUCGUUAGAUCAACGAAGUCAAGCAUCAUUGGGUGCGGUCAGUACUUGGGUGGGUGACCACCUGGGAACACCGCGGUGCUGUU
rnacentral:rRNA from 1 species